GAUAGAGAAGGCUGUAAGCAAACACUCCUGUUUUCAUUCAAUUCCUGUCCUACUAAGCCUCAAGACUUGAGAAGGACCCAGCCAUAAAUCCAGUGUUGUUUGCAGAAACUAAGACUCCAACCCCAGUGGAGGAUGGGGACUACAUCCUGACCACAAGCACAGAGACCUCAAACUAGUUGGAACCAGAAGGUUGAUGAUGGAGAUUCCUGAAACAUCCCUGUUACCUCACCACCAACCAAUCAGAAGGGACGUGGGUUCGAUCCCUGGUCGGGGAACUAAGAUCUCACAUGCCGUGGGGGAACAAAGCCCACGUGCCACCACUACUGAACCCGUGCGCUCCGGAGCCUGCGAGCCACCGUUAGAGAGCCCGAGCACCUCAGUGAAGAUUCCGCAUGCUGCAAUGAAGAUCCUACAUGCCGCAACUAAGACCUGAUG